rnacentral:ncRNA from 13 species
AAACAGGUUCAGGAGAAAGAUUGUUUCUGUGGUAUGACCCACAAAAGCUCAGGCUCUGAAAACCUUAGCAGUAUAUGAGUUUAUUUACAAAAGACAGUGUCUUUGAAUAUAACUAGCAUAAGUUUAAGCUGACAGGCCCCAAAUGAUUGUGAUGCUGUUUCUUGUUGUUUGCUACAAUGGUAAAACCUCCUAAAACCCAAAUUUCUCUAGUUUUCUAUUAAAACCAACAAAUUAGGUACAAUAAUACAGAAAAUAAGAAAAAAAACCCUGUAGAGGGAUUCCUUAUGGAACAGGGGCAUAUGAUACCCCUGGAAAGAUUGGACAACCCAGGGUUGCUGAGGAAAAGCCCCUGAACAGGCCCCUGGCUGCAGGCAGCCCUGAGAGUCCUUGGCAAGUUAUGCACUGGUCAGCUCCCUCACUGAUUAGAGGCUGUCCUAGAGGGACUGUGCGUGAAUCUUUGCAAAAUUAGAUAUAAGCUUGCAUAGUUGAACAAUAAAGGAGGAACGAUGUUUAAAUCGUAUCAGUGUACGUGUCGUUUAUCCGGGCAGCUCUCCGGACUCGGUCCCUAACACCUGGCGCCCGAGCAGGGACUCGAGUGAUCUCACUUGCUUAAAUGCGUUUUUUUUCGCUUAAAUGUGGUUCGCCUAAAUGUGGCAAGACUCUGAAUCAUCACACCGACAGUGAGGAGCCUGGAGAGCUGGAGCGGGAGCGUCCCGGAAAAAAGCUGAGUGGUGCCGGAGACCGGAGCUCGCGCGGCUGAGCGAGCCCCCGCAGGUAAGACAGCUAUGGAAUACGAGGCUGCAACUCGUCUGCUAGCCAGUAUCCUCUCUAAGAGAGGCGAGACUGUAAAAGAUCGAGAUCUCUAUGCCCUAAUAACGUGGGCCUGGGAACAAGGGUUUUUGAAAUGCACUUCGCUUUUGUUUUCGACCAAAGGGUGCAUGCCGCCAUGUGGGAAAUGGCCGGCACAGCGCGGUGGGGCCACGUGCAAGGACACAAGUGAGCACCCCAAAGAGCCACGAGUCAAGUGUAACCCCAGUGGUUUCCUUCAGCAGAACCAGCCAGCCAGCCAAGGGAGCCUUGGAGUGGAUGUGGCAACCUCAAUAGAAGUCACGCUGAUGAACCACCAGGUCACCCUGAUCCCGACCACAGCCAAGGUCCCCCUGUCAUCAGACGGCCCUCGUCUGGGUGGCCUACUCAUGGGGCAGUCAUCAACUAGCUGGCAGGGAGUAGUGGUGCUCCCUGGAGUCAUUGACACUGACUACACCAGCGAAAUAAAGAUCAUGGCCUACGUGCUGCAACCACCCGUGACUAUCGCGCAGGGCAGUCGCAUUGCCCAAAUUGUCCCCGUUCCCCUAAUGACCAACGAGGGAAUCAGCAACACCAGUGUCCGCAGAGACCACGUUUUUGGGUCCUCUGGGUUCGACGUGUUUUGGACAUUGAACUUGGCCCAAAGACCUCAGCGGCAAGUGAUCCUGCAAAAGGGGGCAGAAGCCAUCAAAAUAUGGCUGCUUUUUGACACAGGGGCUGACGUUACCAUAAUUAACCAGGUGGUAUGGCCACCUGAUUGGGGACUGGAAAAACCAGCAGCCAAGCUGGUAGGGGUGGGGGGAACACAAAUCCCCCAAGUAAGUGCAACCCCAAUUGCCCUAGAGUUUGAGGACAAUCAAACCAUUGUGUGUCACCCCUAUGUUAUGAAGCUGCCUCAGACCCUGCAAGGCCUGAUCGGACGCUACAUCCUUGCACAGCUAGGCCUCGUGCUCACCACGGACCAGCAUUUAUGCUGAUGGCCACUGCCAAUAAGCCGCCCAUACGGGCUCUCACCUGGUUAACAGAUGAGCCUGUCUGGGUCGAUCAGUGGCUGGUAACAGACGAAAGGCUGAAGAUAGCAGAACAGCUUGUUGCAGAACAGCUAGUGGCAGGACACAUAAAGCCUUCGGUCAAUCUACGGAACAUCCCCAUCUUUGUGAUUCCAAAGCAGUCGGGAAAGUGGCGCCUCCUUCAUGACCUUCGACAAGUGAAUGCGUGCACGCAAACUAUGGGGGCACUGCAACCUGGGCUACCGGCUCCUACAAUGAUCCCAGCGGGAUGGCAAAUCACUGUAAUUGACUUAAAGGACUGCUUUUUCACAAUCCCACUGCAUCCAAAGGACACAGAAUGUUUUGUCUUUACAGGGCCCACAAAGAAUCGCAGUGAGCCUUCUAAGCGCUACAAGUGGGUUGUCCUGCCCCACAGGAUGAAAAAUUCCCCCACACUGUUUCAGCUAUAUGUUGACCGGGCGCUAUGUCCAAUUCGAUGACGCUAUGCAGAAGCACUCAUCUACCAUUACAUGAAUGACAUCCUGAUAGCCUGCUAAAGAGUUCCCAGAUAAAGAGAUGCAAUGGGUCAGAGAGCAAUUGCAUGAGACUGGAUUAGAGAUCGCCCCCAAGAAGAUCCAGCAGACUGCACCAUGGAAGUACCUGGGCUGGCUCAUAUCAGAAUCGCAAAUUAGGCCCCAAAAGAUCGAGCUAAACACAGAAAUCUCCACGCUCCAUGAUGUGCAACGGCUGCUAGGAGAUCUGCAAUGGGUCCGCGGAAUCGUGGGAAUCACGAACACCAACCUCGCCCCGUUCCUGCCAUGGCUGCACGGGACAAACGCUGCCAAACCUCAGGCAUGCUCCCCGGACCAAGCAGCAGCUCUCGCCAAGGUCGCAGAUAAGCUGCGGCACACAUGGGUGUCGCGCAGAGAAGAAGGAGUCCCACUCGUCAUCAUCACCCUGACAGGCGCAGCGGGUUCACAUGCCAUCAUCCACCAAUGGCAAAAGAAAAAGGGGGAGGACAUCCAGAUUCUCGAAUGGAUCUUCCCGCCGACUCAGCCACGCUUCAGACUACAGUCUAGAGUAGAGAUGCUGGCACUUUUAAUCCAAAAGAGUCGCGACCGAGUGGUGGAGUUGGACGGCAGGGAGGCAGAGGACAUCAGUAUACCAGUCCGGACAGGGGACUUGGAGUGGAUGCUACGCCAUGCGGAUGUGUUACAGUGGGGAAUACUGUAACACGCAUACAUCAAACCAGGAGGCCCGUGGAAAAGAAAUAUAUAUAUGGAUGGAUUCUUGGCAGAUGUUUCAGAGAUGUUUAUUUCUCCAGCCGCAUGGCCAGGGCUCUGCUGAGGAACUCUCACAGUCUGGACUGAGGGUCCCUGCCCGCACAUGGAAACACAAACCAACCAAUGGGAAACGAGGCUGACCAGGGGCUCGGGAAACCCCGUGUCUGUACCCUCAGGGCCCCUCUCCCAGGGCUACAUGGCAGGGGGAGGAGACCCCGACACGGAGGCACUGCAAGAAGAUCUACUCAGAUUCACCAGCGUGGUCCAUAACAAGCACCCACAGGGAAGGCUGGCGCAGCUGCUGGGGAGCUAUGAGUGGCUGGACUGCCCGCUGAAUGUAGAAUGGCCGGUACUAGGGCGCACAGUGUUCACGGAUGCGGGGAGGAAGAUGAAGUGGGCCGCCUGUGCAUGGAAAGAGAACGACCGCUGGAAGACUCACAUCAUAGCAGGAGAACCGGCCGACAGCUUGCAAACACUCAAACUGCGCACCAUGAUAUGGGCAUUACAACAGUGGUCGAAGGAACUGGUGAAUGUAGUCAGCGAUUCCCUAUAUGUCGUUGGAGUAGCGCAAUGGAUCCACGAUGCAGAAAUCCGGCGUACUAACAAAGAAUACUUGGGCAGAUUGCUUAUCACAUUGCGGCAUACCUUGCAACAACGGACACACCCCUACUGUAUCCUGCACGUUCGAAGCCACCAGUGGAACAUCGGGCUGGGAGAGGGCAAUGCCCAUGCAGAUGAGGCGGUGACCUGUGCCCCCAUAGUGCAUCCCCUGCCCACGAGCACUUUUGAGCAAGCCAGAUGUAGCCAUGAUUUUUUCCACCAAAAUGCAAAACCCCUGCAGAGACAGUUUAGGAUCCUGCUGAUAGAUGUGAAAGGCAUAGUGCGGGCUUGUCCCCGCUGUAGCCAUCAUGGCCCUGGGUUGGGUGUGGGAGUUAACACCAAGGGUUUGAAAGCCCUCGAGCUCUAGCAAAUGGACGUCACUCAUGUCCCUGAGUUCGGCCGACAGCGCUAUGUCCAUGUAACAAUUGACACCUUUUCACACUUCCUGUGGGCUACUGCUCAGACAGGAGAGAAGGCAUUGCAUGUGGAGCAGCAUCUGCUCUCUUGCUUCGCAGUAAUGAGGGUACCCAAAAAGAUCAAAACGGACAAUGAGCCAGCAUACACCAGCGGUCGCCAAGCCAGAUUUAUGCAGCAGUGGGGGGUAGAACAUAUCACGGGGAUCCCACACUCACCCACCGGUCAGGCAGUGGUAGAGAGAGCCCAUCGUACACUAAAAGAAUAUCUGGGCUGACAGAAAGGGGAAGAGAUGGAACCAAGUAAACGGCUAAGCAAAGUGCUGCUAACAUUGAACUUCCUCUCUCUGGACGGGGAUAGGGAGGAGCCUCCAGUGGCAAUCCAUCAUCAGAUGGUUUGUAGGAGAAUUGAGCAGGCUCUUCCAGGAAUAAGUGUUUUGUAUUGUAACCGUCGAAUGGGUUUGUGGGAAGGUCCCAGCCCAGUGCUAUUUAAUGGCCGAGGAUAUAUGUGUGUUCCCUCCCUGGAGGGACUGCUGUGGGUGCCCAGCAAGUGGUGCCGUGCUACGCAUGCAGGACCCCGAAGUGAGAAGAUGCAGUCAGCAUCGGCUCCUGAGGAAAGUAAUGUCACUACUACAACAGCCGGAACACUGGGACCCCUGUCCCGAGAAGCCUUGGGAGAGGCUGCAGACUGAGUCUGAGUGAGGGGGGCUGAGAACUUGCCAGGUCCACCACUCUAUGUAGAGGGGGAAAUAGCGAGACCCUGUGGCGAAUGUAGUGGCUGCCCUGGGUGGUUGCUAGUAACUUGCGGUGGUUGUCGGCAGACCCUCUGGAUACACAAGCUAACGUUAGAAAGAGGGUGGUAUACAUACCCACCUUGUGCGGACCGUGAUUGAAGGUGGAACCAAGAAGGGGAGCUGCGUAAAUUCUUGGGUAUAGCACCAGACACAGAGGUAGAGUGGGGAAUUGUUUUUGACUGUCUUGAGACAAGGGUAUUGGCGGACAUCUUUGAUCAGCUGUCCGCCCAUUAGGCUGAGUGAAGGCAGUACGGAGUGUGGCAGUGUUAGGGUGAGAGUGUAGCACACA